GCGGAGGAAAAGAAACUAACAAGGAUUCCCCUAGUAACGGCGAGUGAAGCGGGAAGAGCUCAAAUUUGAAAUCUGGCAGUCUUCGAUUGUCCGAGUUGUAAUCUAUAGAGGCGUUUUCCGUGCCGGACCGUGUCCAAGUCUCCUGGAAAGGAGUAUCAAAGAGGGUGAUAAUCCCGUACUUAACACGACCACCGGUGCUCUGUGAUACGUCUUCUACGAGUCGAGUUGUUUGGGAAUGCAGCUCAAAAUGGGUGGUGAAUUCCAUCUAAAGCUAAAUAUUGGCGAGAGACCGAUAGCGAACAAGUACCGUGAGGGAAAGAUGAAAAGCACUUUGGAAAGAGAGUUAAACAGUACGUGAAAUUGUUGAAAGGGAAACGAUUGAAGUCAGUCGUGUUCUUUGGAUUCAGCCGGUUCUGCUGGUCUACUUCCUUUGAACGGGUCAACAUCAGUUUUGUCCGGUGGAUAAAGGUAGUAGGAAUGUGACUUCUCCGGAAGUGUUAUAGCCUAUUAUCACAUACACUGGGUGAGACUGAGGACUGCAGCUCGCCUUUAUGGCCGACCUUCGGGUACGUUCGAGCUUAGGAUGUUGACAUAAUGGCUUUAAACGACCCGUCUUGA
rnacentral:rRNA from 1 species